rnacentral:rRNA from 1 species
UGGGGAAUAUUGAACAAUGGGCGAAAGCCUGAUGCAGCAACGCCGCGUGAGCGAUGAAGGCCUUCGGGUCGUAAAGCUCUGUCCUCAAGGAAGAUAAUGACGGUACUUGAGGAGGAAGCCCCGGCUAACUACGUGCCAGCAGCCGCGGUAAUACGUAGGGGGCAAGCGUUGUCCGGAUUUACUGGGUGUAAAGGGUGCUCAGGCGGAUUUGUAAGUCAGAGGUGAAAUCUCACAGCUUAACCGUGAAACUGCCUUUGAAACUGAGAAACUUGAGUGCAGGAGAGGAGAGUAGAAUUCCUAGUGUAGCGGUGAAAGGCGUAGAUAUUAGGAGGAAUACCCGUUGCGAAGGCGGCUCUCUGGACUGUAACUGACACUGAGGCACGAAAGCGUGGGGAGCAAACA